GGAAGCCCCAGGUCCAUUCUGUUUGCUCCCUACCCUUUCCUCUCCAAGGCGGCCUGGGACAGCAGGGUUUCACUUUCGAUGGUUGAGAUGGCUCCUGAGAGAGGCCAGCUGGUUCCUGGGCAGGCAGGCUGAGCCUGGAGGUGCGGUGACUGCCUGAGGGGUGUGAGAUGUGAGGCAGCCACCAUGACCUGGUUCCAGAAACAGCUGGUUUGGACGGAGCAGCAGCACAGUGAGGGGCUGCAAAUGCCCCCGGGGAUCCCCAUCGCCGCCGGAGUCCUGGCUCUCCUCGCCCUGCUCGCCCUGGCCUGUCACUGCCUCG